UUGAGCCGUAUGACGGGAAACUGUCACGUACGGUUCUUAGGGGAGGGGCUGGCAGUAAUGCCAGUCUCUUACCCGAC
rfam:Clostridiales sp. SM4/1 draft genome.